AAAAGGCUUAGCAUACAACACAACCUCAUACUUAGUCUUGGACUUCACCCUUAGCUUGGCGCCCACCUUCUUACAUCUACAAGUCCCCACCUCCUCCUACCCCUGUUUACUAUUAUAAGUCUCCACCUCCCCCGUCUCCAACUUACUACUACAAGUCUCCGCCACCUCCGUCUCCAACUUACUACUACAAAUCACCUCCUCCUCCAUCACCAACUUACUACUACAAGUCUCCACCUCCUCCCUCACCUACCUACUCCUACAAGUCACCUCCUCCACCUUCACCAGUGUAUUAUUACAAGUCACCACCACCUCCAGUAUACUCUCCUCCCCCACCAUACUAU
rnacentral:misc_RNA from 1 species